rnacentral:rRNA from 1 species
GAUGAACGCUGGCGGCGUGCCUAAUACAUGCAAGUCGAGCGAACAGACGCGGAGCUUGCUCCUCUGACGUUAGCGGCGGACGUGUGAGUAACACGUGGAUAACCUACCUCUAAUACUGGGAUAACUUCGGGAAACCGGAGCUAAUACCGGAUAAUAUAUUGAACCGCAUGGUUCAAUAGUGAAUGACGGUUUUGCUGUCACUUAUAGAUGGAUCCGCGCCGCAUUAGCUAGUUGGUAAGGUAACGGCUUACCAAGGCAACGAUGCGUAGCCGACCUGAGAGGGUGAUCGGCAACGCUGGAACUGAGACACGGUCCAGACUCCUACGGGAGGCAGCAGUAGGGAAUCUUCCGCAAUGGGCGAAGGCCUGACGGAGCAACGGCGCGUGAGUGAUGAGGGUCUUCGGAUCGUAAAACUAUGUUAUCAGGGAAGAACAAAUGUGUAAGGAAAGAUGGUGGUCGUGACGGUACCUAAGCAGAAAGCCCCGGCUAACUACGUG